UGACGGUACCCUUUCGAAUAAGAGGUUGCUAACUCUGUGCCAGCAGCAGCGGUAAUACAGAGACCUCGAGCGUUAUCCGGAUUUACUGGGCGUAAAGCGUCUGUAGGGGGUUUGUUAAGUUCCAAGUAAAAUCUUAAGGCUCAACUUUAAGUUCGCUUGGAAAACUAAUAAACUGGAGUCCAGCAGAGGUGCAUGGAACUUGCGGUGUAGGAGUGAAAUCCGUUGAUAUCGCAAGGAACACCAAAGGCGAAGGCAUUGCACUGGGCUGGUACUGACCCUGAGAGACGAAAGCGUGGGGAGCAAAACGGAUUAGAUACCCGUGUAGUCCACGCCGUAAACGAUGGAUACUAGAUGUUCGGGGAUUCGACCCCCUGGGUGUCACAGCUAACGCGUUAAGUAUCCCGCCUGGGAAGUACGGCCGCAAGGCUAAAACUCAAAGGAAUAGACGGGGAUCCGCACAAGCGGUGGAGCGUCUGGUUUAAUUUGAUAGUAAGCAAUGGACCUCACCAAGGUUUGACAUCCUAUGACAACCCUGGAAACAGGGCUUCCUUCGGGCAUAGUGACAGGUGCUGCAUGGUCGUCGUCAGUUCGUGCCGUGAGGUGUUCCGUUAAGUCGGGAAACGAACGAAACCCUCGUCGCAUGUUACAAAUUUCAUGCGAGACUGCCCGGGUCAACCGGGAGGAAGGCGGGGAUGACGUCAGAUCAGCAUGGCCCUUAUACCUUGGGCUACACAGGCGCUACAAUGGCCGGUACAAAGGGUUGCAAAACCGCGAGGUGAAGCUAAUCCCAUAAAGCCGGUCCAAGUUCGGAUUGGAGGCUGCAACUCGCCUCCAUGAAGUUGGAAUCGCUAGUAAUCGUGGAUCAGCCAUACCACGGUGAAUACGUUCCCGGAUCUUGUACUCACCGCCCGUCACACCAAGAGAGUUGGUAGCUCAUGAAGCGUCGCAUUAG
rnacentral:rRNA from 1 species